GGGGGCGACUUGGUUUCGACGCGGGUAUCAAAGUUUGCGGUGCAUGCCGAGAGGGUAGUGACUCUCGUAAAACAAUCGCU
rnacentral:tmRNA from 1 species